GACGAACGCUGGCGGCGUGCUUAACACAUGCAAGUCGAACGGAAAGGCCCUGCUUUUGUGGGGUGCUCGAGUGGCGAACGGGUGAGUAACACGUGAGUAACCUGCCCUUGACUUUGGGAUAACUUCAGGAAACUGGGGCUAAUACCGGAUAGGAGCUCCUGCUGCAUGGUGGGGGUUGGAAAGUUUCGGCGGUUGGGGAUGGACUCGCGGCUUAUCAGCUUGUUGGUGGGGUAGUGGCUUACCAAGGCUUUGACGGAUAGCCGGCCUGAGAGGGUGACCGGCCACAUUGGGACUGAGAUAUGGCCCAGACUCCUACGGGAGGCAGCAGUGGGGAAUAUUGCACAAUGGGCGGAAGCCUGAUGCAGCAACGCCGCGUGCGGGAUGACGGCCUUCGGGUUGUAAACCGCUUUCGCCUGUGACGAAGCGUGAGUGACGGUAAUGGGUAAAGAAGCACCGGCUAACUACGUG
rnacentral:rRNA from 1 species